AGAGGUUUGUGACUGAGUGGCGGACGGGUGAGUAACGCGUGGGUAACCUGCCUCAUACAGGGGGAUAACAGUUAGAAAUGACUGCUAAUACCGCAUAAGACCACAGAGCCGCAUGGCUCAGUGGGAAAAACUCCGGUGGUAUGAGAUGGACCCGCGUCUGAUUAGGUAGUUGGUGGGGUAACGGCCUACCAAGCCAACGAUCAGUAGCCGACCUGAGAGGGUGACCGGCCACAUUGGGACUGAGACACGGCCCAAACUCCUACGGGAGGCAGCAGUGGGGAAUAUUGCACAAUGGGGGAAACCCUGAUGCAGCGACGCCCGUGAGCGAAGAAGUAUUUCGGUAUGUAAAGCUCUAUCAGCAGGGAAGAAAAUGACGGUACCUGACUAAGAAGCACCGGCUAAAUACGUGCCAGCAACCGCGGUAAUACGUAUGGUGCAAGCGUUAUCCGGAUUUACUGGGUGUAAAGGGAGCGUAGACGGCUGUGUAAGUCUGAAGUGAAAGCCCGGGGCUCAACCCCGGGACUGCUUUGGAAACUAUGCAGCUAGAGUGUCGGAGAGGUAAGUGGAAUUCCCAGUGUAGAGGUGAAAUGCGUAGAUAUUGGGAGGAACACCAGUGGCGAAGGCGGCUUACUGGACGAUGACUGACGUUGAGGCUCGAAAGCGUGGGGAGCAAACAGGAUUAGAUACCCUGGUAGUCCACGCUGUAAACGAUGACUACUAGGUGUCGGGGAGCAAAGCUCUUCGGUGCCGCAGCAAACGCAAUAAGUAGUCCACCUGGGGAGUACGUUCGCAAGAAUGAAACUCAAAGGAA
rnacentral:rRNA from 1 species